GAGGGGCAGCGGGGUUGUAGCAAUACAACUGCCGGCGACCGGCGCACGGGUGAGUAACACGUAUGUAACCUGCCCUCUGCAGGGGGAUAAGCGGAAGAAAUUCCGUCUAAUACCGCAUAAUACAAUUUGGAGACAUCUCCGGGUUGUCAAAGGAGUGAUCCGGCAGAGGAUGGACAUGCGGCGCAUUAGCUAGUCGGCGGGGUAACGGCCCACCGAGGCUACGAUGCGUAGGGGUUCUGAGAGGAAGGUCCCCCACACUGGUACUGAGACACGGACCAGACUCCUACGGGAGGCAGCAGUGAGGAAUAUUGGUCAAUGGGCGGAAGCCUGAACCAGCCAAGCCGCGUGAGGGAAGACGGUCCUAUGGAUUGUAAACCUCUUUUGCAGGGGAGCAAGGCGCGGUACGUGUACCGCGAAGGAGAGUACCCUGAGAAAAAGCAUCGGCUAACUCCGUGCCAGCAGCCGCGGUAAUACGGAGGAUGCGAGCGUUAUCCGGAUUUAUUGGGUUUAAAGGGUGCGCAGGCGGACUGUUAAGUCAGCGGUAAAAUGUCGGUGCUCAACACCGGCCGGCCGUUGAAACUGGC
rnacentral:rRNA from 1 species